rnacentral:rRNA from 1 species
AUUGAACGCUGGCGGCAGGCCUAACACAUGCAAGUCGAGCGGAUGAAGGGAGCUUGCUCCUGGAUUCAGCGGCGGACGGGUGAGUAAUGCCUAGGAAUCUGCCUGGUAGUGGGGGAUAACGUCCGGAAACGGGCGCUAAUACCGCAUACGUCCUGAGGGAGAAAGUGGGGGAUCUUCGGACCUCACGCUAUCAGAUGAGCCUAGGUCGGAUUAGCUAGUUGGUGGGGUAAAGGCCUACCAAGGCGACGAUCCGUAACUGGUCUGAGAGGAUGAUCAGUCACAUGGGAACUGAGACACGGUCCAGGCUCCUAAGGGAGGCAGCAGUGGGGAAUAGUGGACAAUGGGCGAAAGCCUGAUCCAGCCAUGCCGCGUGUGAGAAGAAGGUCUUCGGAUUGUAAAGCACUUUAAGUUGGGAGGAAGGGCAGUAAGUUAAUACCUUGCUGUUUUGACGGUACCAACAGAAUAAGCACCGGCUAACUUCGUG